AUGGGCGCAGGGGUGAUCGACGAGGACUACCGCGGCCUAGUGGGCCUUGCGCUAUUCAACCACUCAGAGGCGGACUUCGCCGUGAAGCCCGGCGACUACGUCGCACAGAUGAUCGUCCAGGUGAUCGUGACGCCGAAGGUCGCCGAGGUGGAGGACCUCGACGCCACCGUCCGGGGGAGGGAGGAUUCGGGUCCGCCGGCGUCUGAACUUCGAGCCUUGGUAGAUACAUCUAAAGAAGUGGUUUGUUUAGGUUGGUGGUGA
rnacentral:rRNA from 1 species